GUGCACUGAACCGAAGAUAUGAUACAAAGUCGUCAUCGUCUCGCGCAGUUAUACGGCAUCUCGGCUUCGUAUUGCACUCCGCUCGUGUUAUAGACAAAACCAUUUUAUUGAGUACUCGUGUUAUAGACAAAACCAUUUAUGGACAACAGCGGAACUAACCGUAGAUAACCGACUUUCGCCCUAUGCUCGCAAUGCAUUACAUCGAUACGUCAUCAAUCUGUCAUCAAAUGUGCUUUUCCCGACAUAUGCCUACCUACGUCCUAACAAUGCAGCUACUGAUUGAAAAUCAGUAGAUGCAAAAAUAUUACUCCACUCUGAUUGGUUGAUUUCAGUGCAGUUAAUCUCAAACAGGAGCGCAAAAUUUGUAAUCACAGUGCAAUUUUUUGUAAUCACAGUGCAAAAAUCUGUAACAAACUGAUCUGAUAAAGUGUUCAUGAAACGAAAUUUUCACCUCAUCAUUUUUAUUGUCUUUCUACAAAGUACUGAUAGAGUGAUGAAGAAUGACGUUUACAGUUUUUUCAUAUCUCAUCUCAUUCUCAAGUUAUUGCACUUUUCAUAUUUUGAGUUAUGACGUCACAGGUUUGACUUGAAAUAGUGGCAAUAACAAGAAAGUCUGAUAUCUCGGUGAUAAUGUAAUAAAAUUCAAUGAAACUUGGUGCACCCACGUGAAUAUUUUUGGCCAGGUCAUGUGGUUGCACUGUACUUUAACUAUCCAUCAUAGCCAGUAUCUAGCCAAAGCACAAUCUUAUGCACCCUGUCUGUUGUUCAAUAAAAUAGCUACUGUAGAGUAGGUGGCAUUACCAUGGGCAAUUGUGUAAAAGCUGGAUACUGCUACCCAUCAUAUGGUUGUUUUUUCAAGCUUUUUAAUAUUUACUGUUAUUUACAUUAUUAUUAAUUGUUUAUAUGCCAUAGCCAUAGCAUCCCAGUGUUUAACACAUUUUACCAAUGUUGAAAAACAUUAUCUGGCUAGAGAGGGCUAGCUGGGGCCUUUUUACAGGUACAAUCUAGCUGCACCUGAACUACAUGAAUAAUAAUGACUUUAACCUGCAGUAAGCCUUGAUUGGGUUGUUUUUCACCCGCAGUGUAGUUUUAUCUUUUGGAUCCAAUCAAAAUGUCCCAGGAGAAAUGUCAAUUACAUAUAAAAGCAAUCUAGUUAUAGUUACAACUACUAAAUAUAUCACUGUCUAAUUCAGGGGUGGAUUUAUAGGGGGUGCACAGGGGUGCGCACCCCUGUUGUCCUUGGUCAACAGGGGUGCAAAAAAAUCAAAUUCAGAAAUAUGGCACAAUAUCCAAGGUUUUUCCUUUUUUGAAGUCAACUGAAGCUCAUAAUCCAAUGCCCAUAUCGCAGGAAAUGGCAUUUCUAGGGUUCUAUAAAUUUUUCAAAAAUUUUCCGGGCAGGCAAACUCCUGGACCCCCUAGGGAGCUUGCGCCUUCAGUGCUCAAGUUGUUAGGAAGCCAAUUCUUUUGAAUGCACUCCCACCACCCCCUAAAGAAUUAUAAAGAAACACUUGUCUGCUCACCCGGCACCCCCUAGAAAACCCUUCUGGAUCCACCCCUGGUCUACAAAUAACCAAUCAAAACAAUACAUUAAAUAUGGUCAGAUACUCAUGUUAUAAAUAGCCAAUCAGAGCUACAACCAAAAUCAGGUUGUAUUGCAGAAACUUGUAAUAAUUAACAUUUUGUCAAGCCUUGAUAUUUCUUUGCCUGCCUGCCAUGAGAAAC